GUGUUCACUUCGGUAGCAUGUAUACUAAAAUUGUAACUAUACCGAGAAGACUAGCUUGGCUGCUGUGAAAGGAUGGCAUGCAAAUUCAUGAAGCGUUCCAUUUUUUU
ensembl:snRNA U6 U6 spliceosomal RNA